rnacentral:rRNA from 1 species
CCUACGGGAGGCAGCAGUGAGGAAUAUUGGUCAAUGGACGAGAGUCUGAACCAGCCAAGUAGCGUGAAGGAUGACUGCCCUAUGGGUUGUAAACUUCUUUUAUAUGGGAAUAAAAUGUUCCACGUGUGGGAUUUUGUAUGUACCAUAUGAAUAAGGAUCGGCUAACUCCGUGCCAGCAGCCGCGGUAAUACGGAGGAUCCGAGCGUUAUCCGGAUUUAUUGGGUUUAAAGGGAGCGUAGGUGGAUUGUUAAGUCAGUUGUGAAAGUUUGCGGCUCAACCGUAAAAUUGCAGUUGAAACUGGCAGUCUUGAGUACGGUAGAGGUGGGCGGAAUGCGUGGUGUAGCGGUGAAAUGCUUAGAUAUCACGAAGAACUCCGAUUGCGAAGGCAGUUCACUGGACUGCAACUGACACUGAGGCUCGAAAGUGUGGGUAUCAAACAGGAUUAGAUACCCCUGUAGUC